UACGGGCACAUCAGGUUGAAACGCCGGUAUGCGUAUGUUCAACGAAGUUAAGCAACGUCGAUCCUGGUCAGUACUUAGAUGGGUGACCGCUUGAGAAUACCAAGUGGUGCAA